rnacentral:rRNA from 1 species
AUUGAACGCUGGCGGCAUGCUUUACACAUGCAAGUCGAACGACAACGCGGAGAAGUUUGCUUCCCUGUCGGCGAGUGGCGAACGGGUGUGAAUAGCAUCGGAACGAGCUAAGAAGUGGGGGAUAACUAGACAAAAGGGUGCUUAAUCCCGCGAAAGCUCUAAGGAGGAAGGUAGGGGACUUAAAUAAGGCUUUACGGUAUUUGAUAGACCGAUGUCGGAUUAGCUAGUUGGUGGGGUAAUGGCUGACCAAGGCAAUGAUCCGUAGCGGGUCUGAGAGGAUGAUCCGCCACACUGGAACUGAGACACGGUCCAGACUCCUACGGGAGGCAGCAGUAGGGAAUUUUGGACAAUGGGGGAAAGCCUGAUCCAGCCAUGCCGCGUGUAUGAAGAAGGCCUUAGGAUUGUAAAGUACUGUUGUUAGGGAAGAAAAACUAUGUUUUAAUAAAUACUAGUGAUGACGGUACCUAAAGAAUAAGCACCGGCUAACUACGUG